CUCCGGUUGAUCCUGCCGGACCCGACUGCUAUCAGAGUGGGACUAAGCCAUGCGAGUCGACGUAGCAAUGCGUGGCGAACGGCUCAGUAACACGUAGUCAACAUGCCCAGGGGACGUGGAUAACCUCGGGAAACUGAGAAUAAACCACGAUAGGUCACGAUUUCUGGAAUGGAUCAUGGCCUAAAUCUACAUGGCCCCUGGAUUGGACUGCGGCCGAUCAGGCUGUUGGUGAGGUAAUGGCCCACCAAACCUAUAACCGGUACGGGCUCUGAGAGGAGAAGCCCGGAGAUGGGCACUGAGACAAGGGCCCAGGCCCUAUGGGGCGCAGCAGGCGCGAAACCUCUGCAAUAGGCGAAAGCCUGACAGGGUUACUCUGAGUGAUUUCCGCUAAGGGGAUCUUUUGGCACCUCUAAAAAUGGUGCAGAAUAAGGGGUGGGCAAGUCUGGUGUCAGCCGCCGCGGUAAUACCAGCACCCCGAGUGGUCGGGACGAUUAUUGGGCCUAAAGCAUCCGUAGCCGGUUCUGCAAGUCUUCCGUUAAAUCCAGCCGCUCAACGGAUGGGCCGCGGAGGAUACUACAGGACUAGGAGGCGGGAGAGGCAAGCGGUACUCAGUGGGUAGGGGUAAAAUCCUCUGAUCCAUCGAGGACCACCAGUGGCGAAGGCGGUCUGCCAGAACACGUUCGACGGUGAGGGAUGAAAGCUGGGGGAGCAAACCGGAUUAGAUACCCGGGUAGUCCCAGCUGUAAACGAUGCAAACUCGGUGAUGCAUUGGCUUAUGGCCAAUGCAGUGCCGCAGGGAAGCCGUUAAGUUUGCCGCCUGGGAAGUACGGACGCAAGUCUGAAACUUAAAGGGAAUUGGCGGGGGAGCA
rnacentral:rRNA from 1 species